rnacentral:lncRNA from 1 species
GCACCGCAAGACCAGCAGUUGCAAUCUUUAAAACUUUCAUUUGCCUUGGCCUGAGUACGCCUGAAAGUUUUUCUCGCCGGGAUUCUCUUUUGAUUUGAGAAUCGGUUUCUUGAUGGUCCGCUCCGUUGGCCUGACUUGUAGGAGCGUGCCUUCUGUCUGGUCCACAUAGUUCUUGGCUUCCAAGAACUUCUUCUGGACUUUC